rnacentral:SRP_RNA from 1 species
CUGUGCUAGACGGGGAACUAGCGGUGCCCUGUAACCUGCAAUCCGCUAUAGCAGGGUUUAAUUCCCACCCUGAGGUUUGCUCAACCUCUGAUUAUUUUCAGCAAGCGAUGUUGAUAGUUCAAGUCUUGCGCAACAGAUAAGUGCCCAACCCCGUCAGGACCGGGAGGUAGCAGCGGUAAGCAUGUAAUUUGUGUGCCGUGAGUUCGCUUGGCUGGAGUUGGCUACUGAAAGUGGUCGAGGAAAAGGAGGAAUCAAGGGGAGGGUGCACAG